CUGGUCGGUCGCCAUCAGGGGCUCGGUCUUCACCCGGAGGCAAUUUCCAGUCACACAUAUUGACGUCUUGGUUCGUCUACUCUUUGUUUUCAUCGCUUAACGGCACAGGGAAGCGGCAAUGACUGAGACCGCGCAAGGAACAACAUCUGAAAGCGGCUGCGUCAACCACUACAAGCGGCUUUACCGGGACUGCCGCGACGGGAACGGA